rnacentral:rRNA from 1 species
UACGUAGGGUGCGAGCGUUAAUCGGAAUUACUGGGCGUAAAGCGUGCGCAGGCGGUUCGUUGUGUCCGUCGUGAAAGCCCCGGGCUUAACCUGGGAACUGCGAUGGAAACUAGCGAGCUGGAGUGUGGCAGAGGGGGGUGGAAUUCCGCGUGUAGCAGUGAAAUGCGUAGAGAUCAGGAGGAAUACCGAUGGCGAAGGCAGGUCCCUGGGCUGACACUGACGCUCAUGCACGAAAGCGUGGGGAGCAAACAGG